rnacentral:rRNA from 1 species
GUCUACGGCCAUGCCACCCUGAUCUCAGAAGCUAAGCAGGGUCAGGCCUGGUUAGUACCUGGGUGGGAGACCACCUAGGAAGACCAGGUGCCGUAGACG